rnacentral:rRNA from 1 species
GAUGAACGCUGGCGGUAUGCCUAACACAUGCAAGUCGUACGAGAGUUUUUAACUCUAGUGGCGGACGGGUGAGUAACACGUGAGAAUUUGCCUUUAGGAGGGGGACAACAAUUGGAAACGAAUGCUAAUACCCCAUAUGCUUUCGAGUGAAAUGGAUUUUAUCCGCCUAGAGAGAAGCUCGCGGCUGAUUAGCUUGUUGGUAAGGUAAGAGCUUACCAAGGCGACGAUCAGUAUCUGGUUUGAGAGGACGAUCAGACACACUGGAACUGAGACACGGUCCAGACUCCUACGGGAGGCAGCAGUGGGGAAUUUUCCGCAAUGGGCGAAAGCCUGACGGAGCAAUACCGCGUGAGGGAAGAAUGCCUAUGGGUUGUAAACCUCUUUUUUCAGGGAGGAAUAAAAUGACGUGUACCUGAAGAAUAAGCAUCGGCUAACUCCGUG